GCAGGGUUCAAAGAAGAGAUUUGCCUUCCAUGAAGCCAAUGAGUCUGAUCCCUGAAUAACAAAACAGCGAGUAUAUGUGGUCAGGUCAUCACAAAUAAACCAUUCGCAAGGUGAGGAUUGAAGUGAUUGAAGGUCCCUCGCUGCCUCCAGUUUUUGUUUCUCAUCAGCAGCAACCAUUGUUGUCAUUGUUGAUGCAGCUACAUAUGCAGCCAUCUCUGACUUGUAUACUCUUUGGGAAGAGUUAUCUUUUUCAUCUGCUG
rnacentral:misc_RNA from 1 species